UACGGAAGGCAGCAGUGGGGAAUAUUGCACAAUGGGCGCAAGCCUGAUGCAGCCAUGCCGCGUGUAUGAAGAAGGCCUUCGGGUUGUAAAGUACUUUCAGUCGUGAGGAAGGUGUUAAGGUUAAUAACCUUAGCAAUUGACGUUAGCGACAGAAGAAGCACCGGCUAACUCCGUGCCAGCAGCCGCGGUAAUACGGAGGGUGCGAGCGUUAAUCGGAAUUACUGGGCGUAAAGGGCACGCAGGCGGUUAAUUAAGUUGGAUGUGAAAUCCCCGGGCUUAACCUGGGAAUGGCAUUCAAGACUGGUUAGCUAGAGUCUUGUAGAGGGGGUAGAAUUCCAUGUGUAGCGGUGAAAUGCGUAGAGAUGUGGAGGAAUACCGGUGGCGAAGGCGGCCCCUGGACAAAGGCUGACGCUCAUGUGCGAAAGCGUGGGGAGCAAACGAGGGAUUAGGAUACC
rnacentral:rRNA from 1 species